GGUCCGCUGGUUCAAUGGCAGAGCGUCUGACUACGACUCAAAGAAGUUAUCAGGAGGUUCCAGGUUCCACCCCUGGUUGGAUCG